rnacentral:rRNA from 1 species
GUUUCUUCAGUUUCACAAGUAAGAACAAGUCUGCCGAGCCAGCCGAGGGGAAAAUGGAUUGCGCCAAAGGAUGGUCACGUCAAGAUUAAUGUAGAUGCGGGAGUAUCAGUCCAUCACAAUAUGGGAGUAGCAGCUGCAGUAUGCCGGAGUCAGGAAGGAGUAUAUCUUGGAUCAUCUCUGUUGUCAGUACAAGGUCUUCUCAAUCCAGCAGUUUUAGAAGCUCUUGCAUGCAGGGAGGCGCUGGCUCUUGCUCAGGACUUGGGAGUGCAGAAUGUUCAAGUAGCUUCAUACUGUCAGCAAAUUGUCAACCAUAUCCAUCAAGGAGUCGGAGGAGGGGAUGGAGGAAUCAUCAAAGAAAUUGUAGAAAGCAUUAGACUUUUUUCAGCAUGUAAUUUCUAUUAUGAAUCUCGAAUUUCCAAUGUAGAAGCUCAUAGACUUGCAAGGUUUGGUGUCUCUCUUCCACAAGGGAGACAUAUUUGGCUAGGAUUUCCUCAUGAUCCUAUUGCUAUAGCUGUAAACAUUUUAGCUAAUCAAUAA